CAAGUCCGUUACGGUGAAGGCAUAGCGAACCACACCGGCCUCGAGUCAUGCGCAGUAUAUCGUGAGGUGUGCGGCGAAGCGUUGACAGGGGAGCGUGCGGGCCAGCCAUUGAGCCACGAAAUAUUUCUCAUCCAGGACGCCGACGUAGUUACGUAUGCGGAAGGCAAAACGAACGGGUGCGACAUCGCGAGUGCCCGAACGGUCCUGCGUGGUCGUAGACCC
rnacentral:ncRNA from 1 species